rnacentral:rRNA from 1 species
AGGUGACGGUCACACUGGGACUGAGACAGGCCCAGACUCCUACGGGAGGCAGCAGUGGGGAAUAUUGCACAAUGGGCGCAAGCCUGAUGCAGCGACGCCGCGUGAGGGAUGGAGGCCUUCGGGUUGUGAACCUCUUUCGCCAGUGAAGCAGGCCUGUCCCUGUGUGGGUGGGUUGACGGUAGCUGGAUAAGAAGCGCCGGCUAACUAC